AGGCCAUAUCACGGUGAAACACCGGUUCUCAUAUGAUCACUUAAGUUAAGCAACGUCGAGCCUGAUCAGUACCUAGAUAUGUGACUGCUUUGGAACACCAGGUGCUGUAA